GGCGGCGUGCCUAACACAUGCAAGUCGAACGGGACGUCAGCUGAUGGUAACUGAUGUUGAGGUUAGUGGCGGACGGGUGAGUAACGCGUGAGUAACCUGCCUUUCAGUGGGGGGACAACAGAGGGAAACUUCUGCUAAUACCGCAUGAUACAGCGAGAUCGCAUGGUCUUGCUGUCAAAGAUUUAUCGCUGAAAAGAUGGACUCGCGUAUGAUUAGAUAGUUGGUGAGGUAACGGCCCACCAAGUCGACGAUCAUUAGCCGGACUGAGAGGUUGAACGGCCACAUUGGGACUGAGACACGGCCCAGACUCCUACGGGAGGCAGCAGUGAGGAAUAUUGGGCAAUGGGCGCCAAGCCUGACCCAGCAACGCCGCGUGAAGGAAGACGGUCUUCGGAUUGUAAACUUCUUUUGUCAGGGACGAAUAAUGACGGUACCUGGCGAAUAAGCCACGGCUAACUACGUGCCAGCCGCGGC
rnacentral:rRNA from 1 species